rnacentral:rRNA from 1 species
UUGGAGGGCAAGUCUGGUGCCAGCAGCCGCGGUAAUUCCAGCUCCAAUAGCGUAUAUUAAAGUUGUUGCAGUUAAAAAGCUCGUAGUUGAAUUUCGGGGUCAGUAGAUUGGUCGUGCCACUGGUAUGUACUGGUCUCACUGGCUCCUCCUUCCUGAUGAACCGUAAUGCCAUUAAUUUGGUGUUGCGGGGAGACUGGACUGUUACUUUGAAAAAAUUAGAGUGUUUAAAGCAGGCUAACGCUUGAAUACAUUAGCAUGGAAUAAUGAAGUAGGACGUUCGAUCUUAUUUUGUUGGUUUCUAAGAUUGACGUAAUGAUUAAUAGGGAUAGUUGGGGGCAUUAGUAUUCAAUUGUCAGAGGUGAAAUUCUUGGAUUCAUUGAAGACUAACUACUGCGAAAGCAUUUGCCAAGGAUGUUUUCAUUAAUCAAGAACGAAAGUUAGGGGAUCGAAGACGAUCAGAUACCGUCGUAGUCUUAACCAUAAACUAUGCCGACUAGGGAUCGGAUGAUGUUAAUUUUUUAAUGACUCAUUCGGCGCCUUACGGGAAA